UACGUAGGGGGCUAGCGUUGUCCGGAAUCAUUGGGCGUAAAGCGCGUGUAGGCGGCCCGGUAAGUCCGCUGUGAAAGUCGGGGGCUCAACCCUCGAAAGCCGGUGGAUACUGUCGGGCUCGAGUACGGAAGAGGCGAGUGGAAUUCCUGGUGUAGCGGUGAAAUGCGUGAGAUAUCCGGAGGAACACCGAUGCGAAGGCAACCGCCUGGGCCUGUACUGACGCUG
rnacentral:rRNA from 1 species